GACAGAGGUGCCAAGCGUUAGGCGGAAUCACUGGGCUUAAAGCGUGUGUAGGCGGAAUUGUAAGUACCUUGUGAAAUCCCACAGCUUAACUGUGGAACUGCUUGGUAUACUGCCAGUCUUGAGCCACUUAGGGGCUACCGGAACAAAUGGUGGAGCGGUGAAAUGCGUAGAUAUCAUUUGGAACGCCAAUGGUGAAAACAGGUAGCUGGGAGUGUGCUGACGCUGAGACACGAAAGCCAGGGGAGCAAACGGG
rnacentral:rRNA from 1 species